AGCGAACGCUGGCGGCAGGCCUAACACAUGCAAGUCGAACGAACUCUUCGGAGUUAGUGGCGGACGGGUGAGUAACACGUGGGAACGUGCCUUUUGGUUCGGAAUAACUCAGGGAAACUUGUGCUAAUACCGAAUGUGCCCUUCGGGGGAAAGAUUUAUCGCCAUUAGAGCGGCCCGCGUCUGAUUAGCUAGUUGGUGAGGUAACGGCUCACCAAGGCGACGAUCAGUAGCUGGUCUGAGAGGAUGACCAGCCACACUGGGACUGAGACACGGCCCAGACUCCUACGGGAGGCAGCAGUGGGGAAUCUUGCGCAAUGGGCGAAAGCCUGACGCAGCCAUGCCGCGUGAAUGAUGAAGGUCUUAGGAUUGUAAAAUUCUUUCACCGGGGACGAUAAUGGCGGUACCCGGAGAAGAAGCCCCGGCUAACUUCGUG
rnacentral:rRNA from 1 species